rnacentral:rRNA from 1 species
UACGUAGGGUGCAAGCGUUGUCCGGAACUAUUGGGCGUAAAGAGCUCGUAGGCGGUCUGUCGCGUCUGCUGUGAAAACCCGAGGCUCAACCUCGGGCCUGCAGUGGGUACGGGCAGACUAGAGUGCGGUAGGGGAGAUUGGAAUUCCUGGUGUAGCGGUGGAAUGCGCAGAUAUCAGGAGGAACACCGAUGGCGAAGGCAGAUCUCUGGGCCGUAACUGACGCUGAGGAGCGAAAGCGUGGGGAGCGAACAGG